GAUGAACGCUGGCGGCGUGCCUAAUACAUGCAAGUCGAGCGAAUGGAUUAAGAGCUUGCUCUUAUGAAGUUAGCGGCGGACGGGUGAGUAACACGUGGGUAACCUGCCCAUAAGACUGGGAUAACUCCGGGAAACCGGGGCUAAUACCGGAUAACAUUUUGAACCGCAUGGUUCGAAAUUGAAAGGCGGCUUCGGCUGUCACUUAUGGAUGGACCCGCGUCGCAUUAGCUAGUUGGUGAGGUAACGGCUCACCAAGGCAACGAUGCGUAGCCGACCUGGGAGGGUGAUCGGACACAAUGGGACUGAGACACGGCCCAGACUCCUACGGGAGGCAGCAGUAGGGAAUCUUCCGCAAUGGACGAAAGUCUGACGGAGCAACGCCGCGUGAGUGAUGAAGGCUUUCGGGUCGUAAAACUCUGUUGUUAGGGAAGAACAAGUGCUAGUUGAAUAAGCUGGCACCUUGACGGUACCUAACCAGAAAGCCACGGCUAACUACGUGCCAGCCGCCGCGGUAA
rnacentral:rRNA from 1 species